AGUGAACGCUGGCGGUAGGCCUAACACAUGCAAGUCGAACGGCAGCACAGUAAGAGCUUGCUCUUACGGGUGGCGAGUGGCGGACGGGUGAGGAAUACAUCGGAAUCUACUUUUUCGUGGGGGAUAACGUAGGGAAACUUACGCUAAUACCGCAUACGACCUACGGGUGAAAGCAGGGGAUCUUCGGACCUUGCGCGAUUGAAUGAGCCGAUGUCGGAUUAGCUAGUUGGCGGGGUAAAGGCCCACCAAGGCGACGAUCCGUAGCUGGUCUGAGAGGAUGAUCAGCCAAACUGGAACUGAGACACGGUCCAGACUCCUACGGGAGGCAGCAGUGGGGAAUAUUGGACAAUGGGCGCAAGCCUGAUCCAGCCAUACCGCGUGGGUGAGGAAGGCCUUCGGGUUGUAAAGCCCUUUUGUUGGGAAAGAAAAGCAGCAGGUUAAUACCCCGCUGUUCUGACGGUACCCAAAGAAUAAGCACCGGCUAACUUCGUG
rnacentral:rRNA from 1 species